UGAUAGGUUGGGUGUGUAAGCGCUGUGAGGCGUUGAGCUAACCAAUACUAAUUGCCCGUGAGGCUUGACCAUAUAACACCCAAGCAAUU
rnacentral:rRNA from 1 species